UUUUAAUAUGAAAGAAUUCUAUCUUUUUUUUAUUUCGAUUGGAUAUACACAUCCUUCUAUUAUUAUUUUUUUAGGGUUGUUAACUCAAUGGUAGAGUACUCGGCUUUUAAGUGCGACUCCAUUUUUUACACAUUUCUAUGAACUAAUUGGUUCAUCCAUACCAUCGGUAGGGUUUGUAAGACCACGACUGAUCCAGAAAGGAAU
rnacentral:lncRNA from 1 species